AUGGGCAUGCCUAUGAAGCCGAUGACAAUGCAGGAGAACCACUCCCUGAGCGACAGAGGGGUGGUGUUCGCAAAGUCGCCAAGGAACUGUACUAUGAUGAUCUGGAAUACGACCGUGCUGCCGAGCACCGCGACAAACACGUUGUUGUCUAGAAUGCCUUUGAAUACAUUUAUCCUCUCCAUCUCUCUGGAGCUCACCUCGUUGAACACCUGCAUAACGAAAACUUCAGCUCAUUUUCGUACACUGUCACCCAGAAAAACUAGUAUGGUUCUUUUUUUCAUUCAAAAUUAUUAUUUGGUAAUGAAGUCGUCAGACUUUGUUGCCUUGGUAAGUGUUCAUAGUUUGCCAUAUUAUGAUAGUGACAGAGAAGCAUUAUAG
rnacentral:rRNA from 1 species